GGGGCAGGGGCAGGCAGAUCUCUGAGUUUGAACCCAGCUUUGUCUACAAAGUGAGUUUCAAGAUGGCCCAGGCUACUUAAUAAGGCCCUGGCUCAAAUCAAACACACAAUGAAACAAAAACAAAACAGAAAAACAAACAAAAACAAAAACAAAAAACCUUAUUUUUUCCCACUUAGCUUACCACGUUUACUGGGGACUUUAGUGCUAGAUCGGAUGGAAGUGGUAAUAAGACGUUUUGUCUCAUUACUAAUCUUGAGGGGAAUAUCAGCUGAGCCAGGCACGGUGGCUCAGGUGUUUAAUGCCAGCAUUCUGGAGGUUGAAACAGGAGAAGUAUUGUGAGUUUGAAGGUAGGCUGGGCUGGUUUGACUCCUUCCUAAAAAAAAAAAAAAAAAAAAAAAUGGAAUUUCUUUUUUAGAUUUAUAUUUUAUCAUUUUUAAAAAAGAUUUAUUUAUUUAUAUGAGUACAUUGUAGCUGUUCAGACACACCAGAAGAGGGCAUUGGAUCCCAUUACAGAUGGUUGUGAGCCACCAUGUGGUUGCUGAGACUUGAACUCAGGACCUCUGGAAGAGCAGUUAGUGCUCUUAACUGCUGAGCCAUCUCUCCAGCCCAUACCUUACCAUUUUUAAAUAUAUGUGUGUCUGUGUGGUCAUUUUUAAUUUUAUGUAUGUAUAAGUGUGUUUUAAUUUUAUGUAUGUGUGUAUGUAUAUAUGUAUGUGUAUAUGCGUGUGUCCCUAAAGGCCAGAAGAGGGUGAUGAAUGUCCCAGAGUACAGGGUACUGGAGCACCCAGACUUUCCUUCUUACGGUUCUGGUGGGAAAACCAAGGUCAAAGUGCUGUUUAGCUCUGGUGUCUGGCGGAGGCUCACUUCCAGAUUCGCACCCAGUGUCUUCUCUUCUCCUUAUGUCUUUCAGUCUCUUCAAGGGGAUUGAACUAACCACCUUCCAAAGGUCCACCUCCUACCUCCAGUUAGGAGUUAGGAUUCAAUGUAUGAAUUUGGAGCAGGGCUGGGAAGAGGCACACAUUCAGUCUACAGCAUCUGGUGUUGUUGAAUUUUUAGCCAAAGUCUCUCCAGAGCUGCUGGAUUUUGGAGUUGUCUUCACUUACCUAUGUCUGCAAACGUUCUUGAGAACUUUGGAAGGGAAUGGACCAGGCUGCCAGAACUUCACAGUUUCUGCUGGAUCAGACGGCUGCUGUGGAUUUGUGUUUGGUGUUUGCUGUUGGAUUGGACUGCUGGUAUCCUGACGAAGAGUGAAAUCGCCCCCAAGGAACUACUUCUAAAGAGGUCCAUGACCCCCUUUUCCUAUAAACCUUCUUUCCCCUAUCUUUGGUCUGUGGGCUAGAAGGGAGGUUGAAGCAUUCUAGAACUUAAAUAAAGUAGGUUUAGAAAAAUCUAAGCUUACAGCUGGCUUAGUCCAUUUCUGCUAUUGUGAUUAAAUACCAGAGUCAAGAUACCUUAUAUAGAGAAAAGGUUCAUUUAAGCACACAGUUCUGGCAGCUAGAUAGACCACACCUGCCAAGGGGCUCUGCUGGGUCAUGGCAUGGGGAUGUCAUCAUAUAGCAGGAGCUUGUACAAAGGAUAAGGUGGAAAAAGAAGUGAGGGGCUGGGAGAAGCUCACAUGCCCUUUUUCUGCCAGUCCACUAAUCCCUGCUAGGAGGGGUGCUUCCUCAGUUACCUAAUCCCCUCUCUUAAAGCUCCUCCAUUUUUCUGGGUCAUUUCACUGGGGGCCAAGCCUUCUGACACAUGACUGACUGUUAACCAUUUCCAAAGUGCAGUAUGUGCUUUUCUGAGACCGCUAUUCUGUGCUAUAAAACCCAGGGUAUUUGAGAGACCUAGCUUGAGUAUCCUCCCUUCUGCUAUUUGUAAAGUCCAUCUGCUGCUGGAGUACUUACCUGAAAAUCAGGGAAUUCUGGGAUGUGUGCCAGCGGGCCAGACUGCUCACAAAGCUGGUUUCAGGUGCAGUUUGUGUUGCCUCCCAAGCAGAUGGGGAACGAGACUCCCCCACCCUCCUUGUGUGUUCAGGAACAAUGCCUCUCCUGCCUCGUUGAGCACUAUCCACAGCUCUCACCUCACACUCUGCUCUCCAGGCUGAGAGCCCAUUUCCAGUGGAAGCAGGCAAGAAACACACCAGAGUGUGGAAAUAAAUAGAAAAUCUGAAUCCCCAGCGGCUUCUGGACUUCGGGUCCUCUGAGGGACAAACAUCUAUUGUGUUUUAUUAAAUGUUUUCUGUCUUAAUAAGCACUGGGAAAUGCCAGAACCAUCUGCACUCCCUGCUAACCCUGGGGACUUGGGAAGGCAGGCACUCGAGGCCUCUGAAUAGUUCUGUUUCCCUACUGCUCAGUGGUGCUCGAAAUGGCUUUGCCCUGAGGCUGCGGACUUGCCCUAGGAGACCAGCAUGUGUUCUACUGUGCAUAGCCCUACUUCUAGCGGGACCAGAUGACUCCUUUCUUAGCAGUGGGCUGCAUAUUUCUAAGCCCCAGCGUUGUCUGUAGGGCAUAUGCCCAUGGAUCUUAGAAUGAAAGUUUGAGAAGGGGCGCAUGGUUUAUUCGGUGUAUGUACCAUACAGAAGAUGAGUGUGACGUUCCCGCACAAACAAUUGGAUGCAAGGAAUGUGACAGUGAAGAGAUCUGGUUGAAUCUAGUUUUGAGGCUUUCUUCAUCAACACAUCCCUCAUGAUGGAGCAGGUAGGCCGCCCUGCUGGACUCUCUAGUUCAGAGCCUAUUAAGGCCCCCACCACCUUUCCAAGGCUAGAUGUUAGAGACCUCCCCAUGCCAGCCAUCUUUUGUGCCCACCCCAUCCUCUCUGGCUCAUUAGGAGUUGGUGCCCACCCCGUCUGUAGCCGUUGGCCCAGAGAUUUGGAGAGAUGGCGCCUUGCAGGUGGCCCUCAACACUGCCUAGGGCAAAUUCCCCUCUCUGUGCCCCGCAGUUGCUCUGACUCAGAGGCUCCCUCCGGUGGCCUCUGGUGGACACUGCACCACUGUCCCUGGUUCCUGACAGCCCCUGUCGCUGAGAAGACAGGACGUUCUAGUCUUCGAUACUACUAGAUCCUUUUCUUUUAGAUUCCUAGAAUAAAUAUAUCCGUUUAAAGCCAUGUGUGUUUCCUACGGUUAGACAAUUUUUUGAAGGGAAGAGGAACAAAAAAGAAGGAAAAUGGAGAAGAGAAGAACUGAAAAGUAGGAAGGUGGGCAGGGAGGAAAGAUAAAAGUUGCUAAGAUGGCUGACAUUUUUCUAGAGCAGUGGUUCUCAGCCUUCCUAAUGCUGUGACCCUUUAAUUCAGUUCCUCAUUUCCAUUGCUACUUCAUAACUAUAAUUUCGAUAAUUUUCUGUAUUGUUAUGUAAAUAUUCGUACUCUCAGGCAACCACGGUGAAAGGGUCAUUCUACCCCAAAAGGGAUUGUGACCUAGAAGCUGAGAACCAUUGUUUCAGGGGAGGGACAGGGACCAGUGUGCUGGUGGGUGUGUCCAGUCUAUACCUGCUGGGCUCUCCUGUCACAUUGUGUAAGGGGACUCUCAGUGCUCUGUGCCACCUGCUCAGGUUUGGGGAUUGUUCCCAAAGUUAAACAAAGAGUUGAACUCCCACUGGAGGGGACCAACAUCCAACCAAAAGCCACAAAGACUCACCCAGGUGAAUACAGGCAUUCAGUGUGGCAGAAAGCAAAGAGUGGAAACAUCCCUUGGGAAAGAUGGGGUCUUCAGAGUUGGCAGGCUGUCUGGUGGACUCCAGGCUGCUCGUGCAUAGGGCCCCUGGAGUCUCUCCUCUUUUGAUCCCUCUUUACUUCCCCAAGUCCCUUCUCCCAUGACUCCAUCUCCUAGGAUGGGGUGGUUCUUGGUUCAGGAAGAUAGAUGAGCCCAGUGAGGUUUCAUCCCAGCUACAGGGUCCAGCUGCUGUGAAAGAAUGUCAUUGUUCACUUCAACCUCUUUCCUGGCUGCCUGUCCCUGUAUCUCUUUGCACUUCUGUAUAGAUGACUCUCUAAAGUCCUAAUCUAGUGGUAAAGGUGAAAGACACACAAGCCUGAGGAUCAGAGUUCAAAUCCCCAUCACCCGUUCUAAAAGCUGGAUAAUCCAAACCAACGUCCCAGCACAGGAGAUGUGGGGAAAAUAAGCCAGGCUCACAGCUUGUUGGCUAAACAGUCUAGCUCAGUUAGUGAACUCCACUUCAGUGAACAACCUUGCAUAAAAAAACUAAGACGGAGAUCAGUGGAGGAGGAUACUUGACAUUAAUCUCUGACCCCACAGGCCCACAUGUGGCCAUGUGUGAACGCACCCAGAGUUCUGGUCUACCUUAGAAGGAGCUCAUGCUAUAAAGAGAAGUCCAGGUAAGUUGUCCAUCUGACUGGAAAGCAGUCAUCUUGUAGGAUGACUGGAAAACAGUCUUGUCUGUCUCUGUCUCAGCCCUGCUGUAGGAGAAGAGGCCAGGCUGGCUGGGCCAGGCAUCUUACCUACUGCAGUGUUUCUGAGCACUUGUUUUCUGGUAUGCCCAUUUCUCUUAUGUCUCUCUCUGGCUCUCGGGAAUGGACAUUCCUGCCUAUGGUCCAGGGCUUGACUGUGGACUGAAUGAAACAGGCUUUGUGGAAGAUAAGGAGGUGAUCCAUUACUAGCGCAGUCUGGGACAAUAUCUGCAAUGUCUGGCCAGCACCCAUUCGUUCAGCAAACCUUGGCUAAGAAACUCUGAGGACUUCUGGUGAAUGAAGUAGGUGCACUUCUGCCAGGCAUCCUGGAGAAAUGGAGAUGAACACAAAGCAAACCAUGGAACAGCUGGUGAUCUGGUUUCCUGUCCAUUGCUGUAACAACAGACUUGGCCACUUCGAGGUGGAAAGCUUGAUCUCAGUCCACACCACUGAAGAAAGUCAGAGUGAGAACUCAAGCAGGAACCUGAAGGCAGACUGCUUGCUAUUCACACAGCCAAGGAAGCAAUCAAAGAUGGUCCUGUCCAAAGAACCAACAGGCAACUGAAAUGCCUGCAACUCCUCAAUCCCCACUCCUGGCCUGCUAAAGAUACCAUGAUGAGGUCCUAGAUGAAGAUAAGUUACAGGAGACCACAUCAUCACCACUCACCACGUGUGUUGAACCCCAAGAGUUUCUAAUGAUAUUAAAAUUAAUCUUGUUAUUAGCCUCUGUUGCAGAGUUACGGAGGUGGGGCUCAUUAUUCAGAAAACUGGCUGAGGUAGAGGGAAAGAGUAAACAUUUAUUUUGCCUUUGCAAUGCGUACUCUGCUGAAGGGAGAGAAAACGGCAGACAUGAGGCAUUUGUCUAGAAUGCAGUAACCCAACCAAUGAGUGAAAGGGGGGAAUGGAGUUUGCUGCUCACCACCAUGAUAUCUGGCAGUCUUACUGAGGUGAUGGGAUCAGGCAGGGAGCAGAAAGAACCCUGAAUUCAACAGAGAUAAGCACACACGGUUUCCCCCUGACAAGAAGCUACACUCCCACCAAGAGACCAAAGACCAAUUUGAGGAUGAUUUAGACAAGGGUGGGAUGAGAGGAAGCCCCGGGACACAUUCAGAUAAAUCUGAGGCUAGGGACACUUCAGGAGAAGAGUUUGUGUGGGUUUACAGUUCUUGAGAGAUGAGAGCCCAUCAUAGUGGGGAGGUGCGACCCAAGGUUGCAGGCACAGAGACUGGAGCAGAGGCGGAAGUGCACAUCUCGAAUUGCAAGCACAAGGCAGAGAGAGCAACCCAGAAGUAGGCAAGGCUUUUUAACUCACAAAGCCUACCAUACUCCUCCACCAAGGCCACACUUCCUACACUGAUCCAAACAUUGCUGUCAGAUAAGGUUGGAGACUACAGAGGCAUUUAUCAUGCAAACCAACAUAGACUUCCUGGGCUGUGCAGUGGGUUUGAGGCCAGCCUGGGUUGAGACCCUGCUUCAAAAUCCCAGACAACCAAGAUUGUGUCACACCAAGAGGUAGGAGGGACUCAUCCCUUCCUAAAGAACUAUAGGUAGCUGUUGCUAGGAGAGGGAAAAGCAUUUUUGUCAGUGGUAAGGUGCCCAUGCUCCUGUGAGCAACCCUAAAGGAACUCAUUGGCUUAAAAACAGAUAUGAAAGUAGGAAGGGGACCCUUAUAAAAGGAAGGAGGAUAAUGGGGUGAGCAUGAUCAAAAACAUGCUAUUUACAUGUAUGAAAGGGAAAAAUUGACAUACGUAUGAAGUGAAAACCUGACACAUUACUGACUAAAAUUUGAAGGUUCUCAAAACUGUAAAAGCAGGAAGAGGAGGCAUCUAGGGACAGUGUCUCCAGGAAGUGAGAGGACAGAGAGGACAGAGUGGCACUCUGUGGAUACACUGGCACCCGGGGACUGUGUGGCAUCCAUGUCAAGUGCUCUGCAGGGUUGGAUGCCCUCAUGCUGAGAGCUGGUGAUGUACACGUAGGUUAGGUCACUGGUGACCGGGACCAGAAACAUUUCAGGUAGACCAGGGAAGAACCCCCUAGAGGUAAGGUCUCUGGAAGACAGAGGAGAGAGGCUUCAAGUGUAGCUGAGUCUUUAAGGAAGCUUUGCAAUGCUCAAAAAAUGAGAAAGGAGGGUGAGGCCAAUGGAGUUAGUUUUUCAAGAUGGGAGAAAGUAUUAUGAUGAGCCUCAUGGGCGAGGUGGGGGGGGGGAAGAGUGGAAGGUGGGAGAGAGGGGAAGAAAGAACGAAACAAUUGCUGACCAAAUGUCCCAGCUCCCUAGCUUGUCAUGAGAGAGGUUGAAGGACCAGGAAAAAUUCAGACCCCCUAGCAAACAGAGUAGAGCAAAAAAUGUAGGUUAGUUAGUUUAGUGACUCUGUUCCAGGAACUUGACUGACCAUAGAACUGAUGAUUACACCAGCCGGUUCAGCAACUCUGUUCACUGACCAUAAAGUUAGAUUACAAUCUUGAAAACAAUCUUGAGAAACAGAAAGCCUUUCCUUGUGAUUUUUCACUGGUAUUCUUGACAUUUUCCAAUGAUGCCAUCCCUACCCCCUUGGGUUGUGGCUUCUUCCUUUAAAUAUCCCUUCUCCCAGCUACUCAGGGUAGAACUCUUCUACUCCUGCGUGGGAUACAAGUCUCGAUCCCAGUGCAUUGGUUCCUAUCAAUAAACCUCAUGUGAUUACAGCAAGGACGGUCUCUUGUGAGUUCUUGGGGGGUCGCGUCAUCCUGAGACUUGAGUGAGGGUCUCCCCACUUUGGGGGUCUUUCAAGGUCACUAUGAUCAGGUCAAGUCCCAUAGUAGAAGCCUUGCUUCUCUUUAGCAUUUGAGACACUGGUACAGCCUUGAUGCUCACAUGGCCAUUCUGGGAGUAGCAAGGGGAAUGGGAUUAAGGCCCACUGAGUGUGGUACUCAAGCAUCGUAAGUCACUUGGUAAGGGCCCAUGGUAGCCUGGGACAGAGAUCACUUUCUUGGGCAACUCUCACAUGUUCUCAGCAAAUUCCUCACCUCCUCUCACUGGAUGGUCAGAAAGGCAAUUCUGGUGCCACAGGAGUGUGUUUUCGUGGUUCCCAGCACCAUCCCCAUAGGGUGGGCUAUCAGUGACAGAGAUCAGAAUGCUGGGCUGAGGCCAGGCACACAGACACAUGCUAUGCUGGCUGGAAUGCAUCCCAGGGCAGAUGUGAUGUGAACAGUGGAUUGAUGGCCUGAUGUUCAGAAGAGAGGACAGGUAGAAAAGAAUCAUGAGAGUUGGUGGGACCACCAGAAAGUGAGUGCAACAGCUGUCAGGCACUGGAAGAGAACAAAGCCAACAGGUCACCUCCAAGGGGGGAGGCCCUUGACCUUUGUUUUGGUUCCUAAGUGCUUAGUGAUGCAAAGAGAAGGUAGAGAGCAAUUGUGACAGAACUGAAACUGGAAGUGUGCCUGAGGCUGAACAAGAGGGGAGAGUCGGUAGAAAGAACCCUUCAGAGGAGAGCUGAAGAGCUAAACAGAGAGAGGAAGGAUAGGUUA